GAUGAACGCUGGCGGCGUGCCUAAUACAUGCAAGUCGAGCGAACAGACGAGGCGCUUGCUCCUUUGACGUUAGCGGCGGACGGGUGAGUAACACGUGGAUAACCUACUUAUAUGACUGGGAUCACUUCGGGAAACCGGAGCUAAUACCGGAUAACAUGUUGAACCGCAUGGUUCAACAGUGAAUGACGGUCUUGCUGUCUCUUAUCGCUGGUUCCGCGCCGCAUUAGCUAGUAGGUAAGGUAACGGCUUACCAAGGCAACGAUGCGUAGCCGACCGGGGAGGGUGAUCGGCCACACGGGAACUGGAACACGGUCCAGGCUCCUACGGGAGGCAGCAGAAGGGAAUCUUCCGCAAGGGGGGAAAGCCUUACGGAGCAACGCCGCGUGAGUGAAAAAGGUCUUCGGAUCGUAAAACUCUGUUAUUAGGGAAAAACAAAUUUGUAAUUAACUGUGCACGUCUUGACGGUACCUAAUCAGAAAGCCACGGCUAACUACGUG
rnacentral:rRNA from 1 species